rnacentral:rRNA from 1 species
AGCAUUAUCAAGCGAAACUGCGAAUGGCUCAUUAUAUAAGUUAUCGUUUAUUUGAUAGUACCUUACUACUUGGAUAACCGUGGUAAUUCUAGAGCUAAUACAUGCUAAAAAUCCCGACUUCGGAAGGGAUGUAUUUAUUAAAUUAAAAACCAAUGCCCUCCGGGGCUCACUGGUGAUUCAUGAUAACUUCUCGAAUCGCACGGCCUUGCGCCGGCGAUGGUUCAUUCAAAUUUCUUCCCUAUCAACUUUCGAUGUUUGGGUAUUGGCCAAACAUGGUUGCAACGGGUAACGGAGGGUUAGGGCUCGACCCCGGAGAAGGAGCCUGAGAAACGGCUACUACAUCCAAGGAAGGCAGCAGGCGCGCAAAUUACCCAAUCCCGACACGGGGAGGUAGUGACAAUAAAUACUGAUACAGGGCUCUUUUGGGUCUUGUAAUUGGAAUGAGUACAAUUUAAAUCCCUUAACGAGGAACAAUUGGAGGGCAAGUCUGGUGCCAGCAGCCGCGGUAAUUCCAGCUCCAAUAGCGUAUAUUAAAGUUGUUGUGGUUAAAAAGCUCGUAGUUGAACCUUGGGCCUGGCUGACCGGUCCGCCUCACCGCGUGUACUGGUCCGGACGGGCCUUUCCCUCUGUGGAACCCAAUGCCCUUCACUG